CACGUAGGGCGCAAGCGUUGUCCGGAAUUAUUGGGCGUAAAGAGCUCGUAGGCGGUCUGUUGCGUCCGCUGUGAAAACUCGGGGCUUAACCCCGAGCCUGCAGUGGAUACGGGCAGACUAGAGGUAGGUAGGGGAGAAUGGAAUUCCCGGUGUAGCGGUGAAAUGCGCAGAUAUCGGGAGGAACACCGGUGGCGAAGGCGGCAUCCUGGCCCUGUCCUGACGCUCAGGGGCGAAAGCGUGGGGAGCGAACAGG
rnacentral:rRNA from 1 species